AAUUGAGGCAAAGAUUGAAAUGGUUUGGACAUGUGAGAAGGGCAGAGGGGGGCGUGUUGAAUGAGGUGGAGUUGAGAGUUGAGGACCUUUCUGUCAAAUUGAGGCAAAGAAGAUUGAGAUGGUUUGGACAUGUGAGGAGGGCAGAGGGGGGCGUGUUGAAUCGGGUGGAGGAGUUGAGAGUUGACGACCUUUCUGUCAAAUUGAGGCAGAGAAGAUUGAGAUGGUUUGGACAUGUGAGAAGGGCAGAGGGGGGCGUGUUGAAUGAGAUGGAGUUGAGAGUUGAGGACCUUUCUGUCAAAUUGAGGCAGAGAAGAUUGAGAUGGUUUGGACAUGUGAGAAGGGCAGAGGGGGGCGUGUUGAAUGAGGUGGAGGGGCUGAGAGUUGAGGGAAGGCCUAGGAAAAAGUGGAUCAGAUGUGUGGUGGAGGAUAGGAAUGUAUUGGGAAUAGAGGAAUACAUGGCACAAGAUUGACGGAUGUGGAGGAGUCAUCGCUGUCAAGUCUAGUCAGUCAAGUUCCUCAGUGUGGUGUCUAGCAUUGACGCUGCCCAGACAAGUGUUCCCUGUGUGUGUUUACAGUAAGAGGAGGAGGAGGAGGAGGAAGAGGAGGAGGAGGAGGACGAGGAGGAAAAUAAAUCUAACAUGCAUUAUAUCCCAAACCAUGGAGAUGUAUUAACU